CACAAAUCGAGCAUCGCCUUCCAGGACCC
rnacentral:sRNA from 1 species